rnacentral:rRNA from 1 species
AGUCGAACGAAGUAGCAAUACUUAGUGGCAGACGGGUGAGUAACAUGUGGGUAUCUGCCCUUUGGCCUGGAAUAACACGAGGAAACUUGUGCUAAUACCGGAUAAGUCCUAACGGAGAAAGUUUUAAUGCCAAAAGAUGAGCCCGCAUUUGAUUAGCUAGUUGGUAAGGUAAAAGCUUACCAAGGCGACAAUCAAUAGCUGUUCUUAGAGGAAGACCAGCCACAUUGGGACUGAGACACGGCCCAGACUCC